GUUUGAUAAUACAAAAUUUUUAAUUAUGUUAAUCUGUUACAAAUUUGCAAUUAAAUGAAUAUAAUGUACACAGUUGUAAACAUAAUACAAUAUAUCGCAAUAUUUUUUUAAGUUUCUUUUAAUAAAACCAUUCAGUUGUAAAAAAAAAAAACAGCGAUACAGUGAUGUGUCUAGUUCCAACAAUAUCCUCUAAAACGUUUCUCGGCCUUAAAAUAGAAAAAAUUAUCCUCGUACACAACAUAACCAGUUAGUUUUUAUGGAUAGUCUCCUAUGUUGUCCUUUUCAUUUCCAUUCCUGAAUAUCUGUCUGUCUUUUUAUUUUUAUUUUCCUUCGCUUUAAUCUCAAUUAUUUUGGAUCGACUUCCCUUGUCCUAAACUUCCACUAGACCCGAUCCACCACAUCGUCUCGCAUACACCCGUCAUUAUCAUUCUCAAUCGCAUUACGUCUACCUCUCCCCUUAUUUCCACCUACGACUAUUUUCAUUACAAUUCUUACUACUUCUGAUUCUUCUCAGUUUUUAUCAGUUCAUCGCACUGACCGGACGUAAUCAACGUAUGCGUCCUCUAUUAUCUACAUAAGUUAUCACCUAUAUUAUCUUCACAUACGUCUUUUGAUAUUGUUUUUUUUUUUCUUAUAACAUCACAAAACUAUGUCUACAGAGUGUAAAAAUGCC